CUAAGUGGCGGACGGGUGAGUAAUGUAUAGUUAAUCUGCCCUUUAGAGGGGGAUAACAGUUGGAAACGACUGCUAAUACCCCAUACUCCUUUUAUCUUAAUGAUAAUUGGGAAACGUUUUUUCGCUAAAGGAUGAGACUAUAUGGUAUCAGGUAGUUGGUAGGGUAAGAGCCUACCAAGCCAAUGACGCCUAGCUGGUCUGAGAGGAUGAUCAGCCACACUGGAACUGAGACACGGUCCAG
rnacentral:rRNA from 1 species